CUGUGGAUCCCUAUGUACUUAAGGCCUUCCAAAGGUAUUUCUCUGCUUGAGCUGUUCAGGUUGCCCGGAUCACCUAUUAAUAGACAGCUCCUCCAGUCUGAUCUGCUGAAGUAACAGAUAAAAAAGCUGCAAAGCAACGUACACACCAAAAGCAAACCAACCUUGCACAAAUUAUCCUGAUUCCUGCCUUGUGAGCAGAGACAGCUGUGACUGAUUCCAGCAAAACACCUUGCGUCUGGUCUACAAAGCCCGAGCUAAUCCGCACGUCGAACCAAAGCGGGUCCUUCCUCAUCACAUGCUUGUGCUGCCAGAGCAGGGGACGUGGAUAAUACUUUGGAGCCACUACAAACGCUUUGGAAAAGACUCUGCCAUGGUAGCAAACAGCUGGUGUAGCUAAUCCAUUUUCCAAGCACAUUUGCAAGAUACAUAAUUAAGAGUUCUGUUGAGGGGCGAAGCAAAGCAAACCAUUAGAUUUGUUUAUAACAUUAUGGGUAGUGUAAUACUCACUCAGGAUCUCCUUUUCCUGCAAAAGGCAUUAAGGUGAUCCUUAGGAAACAUCCCUGGGAUUUCCUGAUGAUGCCUGCAUGACAUUAAAUUUGUGUGAAUAUUUUCAAUUCCAUUUGCCGUAUAAUUAAGCACUAUGAAGGAUCCCACAGAUUUUUUGGACUUGUAAAUUGCUGGAUCAAUCCAAAUGAUAUUCCUUUGAGUUCUCUCUUCUGAUUUCCAUUGUCUCUCAGGCACAAAUUGGGACGGUUUGAGGAAGAGGAUGAGCAAGUUCCUUCAGCCUCAUCGUGGCAGCAUGCUGACAAGUUGCAUGUGCUUCACCUGCCAUUAACUCAUUGCUCAGUGACAAGCACUUGGUUGACACAUUGGCACGUGUUGGUCUUAGCAGGGCUCCUCUCUCCCAGACAGUUUCUUCCAAAGCAAAUGAACACCGUGCAGGUUGAAACCAACCUGGUUGUGGCCCAUGUCCAAAGCAAUGUUUGUGUUUAAAUGUCUCUGAGUUUAGGGCACCUGCUGCAACGUGGCACUGUGGAUUGGGUCUGCAAAGGGAGGCUGCAUGAGGGAAGAGCAGGCGUGGA